CGUAGGUGCGAGCGUUAAUCGGAAUUACUGGGCGUAAAGCGUGCGCAGGCGGUUAUGCAAGACAGAUGUGAAAUCCCCGGGCUCAACCUGGGAACUGCAUUAGUGACUGCAUAGCUAGAGUGCGGCAGAGGGGAUGGAAUUCCGCGUGUAGCAGUGAAAUGCGUAGAUAUGCGAAGGAACACCGAUGGCGAAGGCAAUCCCUGGGCCUGCACUGACGCUCAUGCACGAAAGCGUGGGAGCAAACAGGAUU
rnacentral:rRNA from 1 species